ACUGAUCUCUGCUCUCUUCACCUGAACCCUCUUAGAAAGUUCCACCUCUUUUUUCUUAAUUUCCAACACGACUUUCUCAGAAGGACUAAACGCAUUCUGCUCACGACUUGCCUCCAGAUGUGCUCGCUGGUGUCGCGUGCCAUGUGUUCCAUACAAUACCAGACUCCAUUCUUUGAUGUAGCCUGGAGGACUGGUGUCCAUAUCAAGCAUCUCUACACGUUGCUGUGGAAAGUUUUCCCAGCUCUGAGCUAGCUCCACCAUCUUGCCACAGUCAAAAAGGCCGAAGCCAAACCGGUGGCUCACGUGAUGUCCGGCUCCAUUGAUGGUCCAGCUGCUGUCUGCCGAUGGGAUGCGUGACCCUCGCACGACCAGGUGUUGGACAUCUCGCCAGCUCAGUAAAGGACUGGAGCAAAAAAUGUAUAGAAUGUUUAACAUUCAUGUAACUAAAGGCUAAAGAAAUAAAUGUACACACACUGUUAUCGACCAAGCAAACUCUUCUUUCUGUGCAGGCGGCCAGAGGGAGCCACUGUGUUAGGUCAAGUUUCUUUUCUUUCUCUCUGUUUUUUUUCUCUGCAUAUCUUGCUUUUUCCCUGCACUAAAUGAUCAUUCUUAUGCUGGAUCAUAUUCUCCAUACAUGGUUCUAUUCUUCCCAGACUUUAAA